AUAUCAAUAAGCGGAGGAAAAGGAACUAACAAGGAUUCCCCUAGUAACUGCGAGUGAAGCGGGAAAAGCUCAAAUUUAAAAUCUGGUAGUCUCUGGCUGCCCGAGUUGUAAUCUAGAGAAGUGUUAUCCGCGCUGGACCGUGUAUAAGUCUCCUGGAAUGGAGCGUCAUAGAGGGUGAGAAUCCCGUCUUUGACACGGACUACCAGGGCUUUGUGAUGCGCUCUCAAAGAGUCGAGUUGUUUGGGAAUGCAGCUCUAAAUGGGUGGUAAAUUCCAUCUAAAGCUAAAUAUUGGCGAGAGACCGAUAGCGAACAAGUACCGUGAGGGAAAGAUGAAAAGAACUUUGGAAAGAGAGUUAAACAGUACGUGAAAUUGUUGAAAGGGAAACGCUUGAAGUCAGUCGCGUUGGCUAGGAAUCAGCCUUGCUUUUGCUUGGUGUACUUCCUUGUUGACGGGUCAGCAUCAAUUUUGACCGGUGGAAAAAGGCUAGUGGAAUGUGGCAUCUUCGGAUGUGUUAUAGCUGCUAGUUGUAUACAUCGGUUGGGAUUGAGGAACUCAGCACGCCGAAAGGUCGGGGUUCGCCCACGUUCGUGCUUAGGAUGCUGGCAUAAUGGCUUUAAUCGACCCGUCUUGAAACACGGACCAAGGAGUCUAACAUGCCUGCGAGUGUUUGGGUGGAAAACCCGAGCGCGUAAUGAAAGUGAAAGUUGAGAUCCCUGUCGUGGGGAGCAUCGACGCCCGGACCAGACCUUCUGUGACGGAUCCGCGGUAGAGCAUGUAUGUUGGGACCCGAAAGAUGGUGAACUAUGCCUGAAUAGGGUGAAGCCAGAGGAAACUCUGGUGGAGGCUCGUAGCGAUUCUGACGUGCAAAUCGAUCGUCAAAUUUGGGUAUAGGGGCGAAAGACUAAUCGAACCAUCUAGUAGCUGGUUCCUGCCGAA
rnacentral:rRNA from 1 species